rnacentral:tRNA from 1 species
GGGCGAAUGACCGAGUGGUCUAAGGUGCUAGCUUCAGGUGCUAGUGUAGAAAUACGCGUGGGUUCGAACCCCACUUCGCUCA